GACGAACGCUGGCGGCGUGCCUAAUACAUGCAAGUCGAGCGAAGCGGCGGAUGGGUGAGUAACGCGUGGGUAACCUGCACGUAAGGCUGGGAUUCCCUUUGGAAACAGAUGCUAAUACCGGAUACUAAAGGAUGGACCUGCGAUGCAUUAGCUCGUUGGUAAGGUAACGGCUUACCAAGGCGAUGAUGCAUAGCCGGGUUGAGAGACUGAUCGGCAACAUUGGGACUGAGACACGGCCCCAACUCCUACGUGAGGCAGCAGUAGGGAAGCUUCCACAAUGGACGAAAGUCUGAGGGAGCAACGCCGCGUGAGUGAAGAAGGUUUUCGGAUCGUAAAGCUCUGUUGUUGGUGAAGCGGUAAUCAACCAGAAAGUCACGGCUAACUACGUGCCAGCAGCCGCGGUAAUUC
rnacentral:rRNA from 1 species